AUGUCUGUCGCAUUCUGGUAUCCAGUAGAUGGUCAACCAUGGCACGCUUCAGGACACUAUUCAAUUAACUGUGAUUGGGUUGCGAUUGAUAUAUCGAGCAGUUCCGCUUCUUUGAGUGGCAAGUCAGUAGGCACGGGAUCAAGUAGCUCAUGGAAUAUUGCAAGUGCAUUUUCACUUAUACUUUCUGUAGUAGCAAUUUGUAUGUCUGUGUUUGUGAGUUAUAGAGUUUUGCAUCCCAAGGGUGUUCAGUUUACUCCAGUGGAGGAGCUUUAA